rnacentral:rRNA from 1 species
GUAGGCGGCAAGCGUUGUCCGGGAAUUAUUGGGGCGUAAAGCGCGCGCAGGCGGUUCUUUAAGUCUGAUGUGAAAGCCCACGGGCUCAACCGUGGAGGGUCAUUGGAAACUGGAGAACUUGAGUACAGAAGAGGAAAGCGGAAUUCCACGUGUAGCGGUGAAAUGCGUAGAGAUGUGGAGGAACACCAGUGGCGAAGGCGGCUUUCUGGUCUGUAACUGACGCUGAGGCGCGAAAGCGUGGGGAGCAAACAGGAUUAGAUACCCUGGUAGUCCACGCCGUAAACGAUGAGUGCUAAGUGUUAGGGGGUUUCCGCCCCUUAGUGCUGCAGCUAACGCAUUAAGCACUCCGCCUGGGGAGUACGGCCGCAAAGGCUG